rnacentral:rRNA from 1 species
UACAAAGGGGGCUAGCGUUGCUCGGAAUUACUGGGCGUAAAGGGAGCGUAGGCGGAUAGUUUAGUCAGAGGUGAAAGCCCAGGGCUCAACCUUGGAAUUGCCUUUGAUACUGGCUAUCUUGAGUACGGAAGAGGUAUGUGGAACUCCGAGUGUAGAGGUGAAAUUCGUAGAUAUUCGGAAGAACACCAGUGGCGAAGGCGACAUACUGGUCCGUUACUGACGCUGAGGCUCGAAAGCGUGGGGAGCAAACAGG